rnacentral:miRNA from 1 species
GGCUUUUCUGGGAGGUGGGGGAAGGGACAGAGCCGCGCACUCUGUCCCUUCCCCCACCUCCUGCAAAAGCC